rnacentral:rRNA from 1 species
UACCAGCACCCCGAGUGGUCGGGACGAUUAUUGGGCCUAAAGCAUCCGUAGCCGGUCCUGCAAGUCCUCCGUUAAAUCCACCCGCUCAACGGUUGGGCCGCGGGGGAUACUACAGGGCUAGGAGGCGGGAGAGGCAAGCGGUACUCGAUGGGUAGGGGUAAAAUCCACUGAUCCAUUGAAGACCACCAGUGGCGAAGGCGGCUUGCCAGAACGCGAUCGACGGUGAGGGAUGAAAGCUGGGGGAGCAAACCGG